AUUGUACGCUGGCGGCAUGCUUUACACAUGCAAGUCGAACGGUAACAGGGUGCUUGCACCGCUGACGAGUGGCGAACGGGUGAGUAAUGCGUCGGAACGUGCCGAGUAGUGGGGGAUAACGCAGCGAAAGUUGUGCUAAUACCGCAUACGUACUGAGGUAGAAAGUGGGGGACCUUCGGGCCUCACGCCAUUCGAGCGGCCGACGUCUGAUUAGCUAGUAGGUGAGGUAAAGGCUCACCUAGGCGACGAUCAGUAGCGGGUCUGAGAGGAUGAUCCGCCACACUGGGACUGAGACACGGCCCAGACUCCUACGGGAGGCAGCAGUGGGGAAUUUUGGACAAUGGGCGAAAGCCUGAUCCAGCCAUGCCGCGUGUCUGAAGUAGGCCUUCGGGUUGUAAAGGACUUUUGUCGGGGAGGAAAUCCCCAGCGCUAAUACCGCUGGGGGAUGACAGUACCUGAAGAAUAAGCACCGGCUAACUUCGUGCCAGCAGCCGCCGUAAAAC
rnacentral:rRNA from 1 species